rnacentral:rRNA from 1 species
AGCAGCCUGCAUACGCGAUCGGUAGCUAGUGUCGUACGCUCUAUCGCGAUCUGACUGCUGAGUCUCAGCUACUGACUAGACUGUCAGACUACGAGCAGCAUGACUUGACAUAGUAGCUGAUCAGCAUCGCUGUCGAUGAGCUCGAUGCAGCACGUCGCAGCACGACGUCAUCGAUAUAGCUGUGACUGACGUACUGCAGAUAGCACGCUACUACGUGCAGCAGCGCGUAUACGUAGGUGCAGCGUGAUCUGACUACUACGUACGCGUGCGCAGCUGUCGAAGAAGAUGUGAAUUCAGAGCUACUUGACUGCAUAUUACUACGAGCUAGAGUGUGUCAGAGGAGGUGAAUACGCGUGUAGCAGUGAAUGCGUAGAUAUGCGGAGGAACACCGAUGGCGAAGGCAGCCUCUGGAUAACACUGACGCUCAUGCACGAAAGCGUGGCGAGCAAACAGGAUUAGAUACCCUGGUAGUCCACGCCCUAAACGAUGUCAACUAGCUGUUGGGGCCUUCGGGCCUUAGUAGCGCAGCUAACGCGUGAAGUUGACCGCCUGGGGAGUACGGUCGCAAGAUUAAAACUCAAAGGAAUUGACGGGGACCCGCACAAGCGGUGGAUGAUGUGGAUUAAUUCGAUGCAACGCGAAAAACCUUACCUACCCUUGACAUGUCUAGAAGGCCGAAGAGAUUUGGCUGUGCUCGCAAGAGAACUGGAACACAGGUGCUGCAUGGCUGUCGUCAGCUCGUGUCGUGAGAUGUUGGGUUAAGUCCCGCAACGAGCGCAACCCUUGUCAUUAGUUGCUACGAAAGGGCACUCUAAUGAGACUGCCGGUGACAAACCGGAGGAAGGUGGGGAUGACGUCAAGUCCUCAUGGCCCUUAUGGGUAGGGCUUCACACGUCAUACAAUGGUCGGGACAGAGGGUCGCCAACCCGCGAGGGGGAGCCAAUCCCAGAAACCCGAUCGUAGUCCGGAUCGCAGUCUGCAACUCGACUGCGUGAAGUCGGAAUCGCUAGUAAUCGCGGAUCAGCAUUCGCAGAAUUCGGUG